UCAGGUGUCACAGCUCUUGGCUUGUCUCAACCAUGGCUCUGAUUUCUCUCCUUCUUCCUUUCCUCACUGUUGUCACAGGUUCUCUGGCCUCCUAUGUGCUGACCCAGAUUCCCUCCAUGUCUGUGGCUCUGGGGCAAACAGUCACCAUCACCUGUGCAGGAGAUCAGCUGGAUGAUAGGUAUGCUCAUUGGUACCAGCAGAAAAGGAGCCAGACUCCUCCUGAGCUUGUCAUUUACAAGGACAAGGAAAGACCAGAGGUCAUCUCUGACCGAUUCUCAGGCUCCAGCAGCAACAAGGUGGCCACAUUAACCAUCUCUGGGGUCCAGGCUGAAGAUGAGUCUGAUUACUACUGUCUGUCAUUUGAUGAUAAUACCAAGACUCACAAUGAUUUAAAGAGAUGA